CGCGGUGCACCACGGGCGCGCACCACUGGGCGGCAUGGAGGAGCGCGGCGAUUCCGAGCCGACCCCGGGCUGCAGCGGUCUGGGCCCCGGCGGCCCUCGCAGCGGCGGCGGCGCCCACUCAUGGGCCCCCGAGGACGCCUGGAUGGGCACCCACCCAAAGUAUUUAGAAAUGAUGGAAUUGGACAUAGGAGAUGCCACCCAAGUUUAUAUAGCAUUCUUGGUUUACCUGGACCUCAUGGAGAGUAAAAGUUGGCAUGAAGUGAACUGUGUGGGAUUACCAGAUCUGCAGCUCAUCUGCCUUGUGGGUACUGAGAUAGAAGGAGAAGGGUUACAGACUGUGGUGCCUACCUCCAUCAGCGCUUCCCUCAGCCAUAACAGAUGUGGAGUCCUUACCCUGGGAAUCAGGUCAACAGAGCCUCCGCCUUCUGGAAUGUUGUCAGUUCCAGUGGCAGGAAGAAGCAAGUGCUGUAAUGUCUGCAAUAAAAAAACGCUUCGACCAGAAGAAACAUACGACACCCCUGCCCACAUUUUAUUGGCCAAAGCAAAUCACAUGGUUGGCCAUUACCAACUUCAAAAAGGAGAGGACGUGCAAUUCUACCAUGUUCCUGGGUUGAGGAGAAGGACUAGUCAAAGAACAGCAUUUCCAGGGCCGUCUUUGUGACACCGUAGUCCAUAGGAAUCACCUUGGCUGCAAGGAAACAGAAUACCGGACAAACAGUGGCUCAGACAAGGAGGGAUCUACUUUCUGAGGGUGAGUAAUAUAGUAGCAGGUUAUCAGGAUUCCACAUUGACUCAUCUGUCACUCUCUGGUCUCUCCCUUCUGGAAGCAAGAUCACCAUCUUAGCCCCUUCACACAACAACAUCCAAACGGAGACUAAGAGAAAGUUCAUCUCAGUAGAGUUCUUUUUUUUUUUUUUUUAAUCAGGAGGAAAUCCUUCCCAAACGUAUACCCACUAGGAGAUUUCCCCUGAGUACCAUGGGCCAGGAUAGGGUCACGUGCCCAUGGUUUACCUGCCACGAAACUGGGAAAGUGAGUCACUGGCCUCUAUAGGUGCAGUGGGCUUUGUGUGCAAGGAAGAAGGAAGGAAAAGCUGAUGGAUAGUCAACCACUCUAGGGACUAAAUGUAUGUGUCCCCCCCCGACACAUUCAUAGGUUGAAACACUAUCUCCCGAUGUGAUGGUAUUAGGAGACAGGGCCUGUGGGAAGUACUUAGGAUCAGAUGAGGUCAUGAGGAUGGAGUGGGAUUGGUGCCCUUAUGAAAGUCACAACAGAGCUUGCUUCCUCUCUGCUCUUCCUACCAUGUGAGGACACAAGGGGACGUCUGCAGCCCAGAAGAGGACCUGACCACACUGGCACCCUCAUCUUGGACUUCCAGCCUCCAGAACUGUCAAUCCCAAGAUUUUCCACUUGCUUCAGCCUGUGGGGCUCUCUCUGUUCUGGGCUCAGAGUGCACAGAGUCCUGGACUUUCCCGCCCAUUGGCCCUUGUGGAUACUGUCUUGGGCCAUAUCGAGUUUGUCCUCUAGGAUGUUGUCUCUGCUGGGGGUUUGUUCUGCACUCAACCUCUGUGGCCCUUAGCCUGACAGGUAGGCCAUUCUCCUCUCUUGCUUCGCAGUCCCCCCAAGGGCCUAUUAAGUUCCUGGUGGGCAUAUAAGUAUAUGUAGAAGAAGAAAGUGUAAGGUGGCAUCAAUGAAUCGGAUUGUUAGCAGGAAGUGAUUGUGAGAAGCAGCAUAAAAUCUCUAUGACUAUCAUUAACUGCAAAUUAUAAUUAUAUCAUCUAAGGCAAAUGGUUCCCUCAGUGUCGACAUUUUUAUUUAUUUUUAAAUAGUUCAUUCUGAAUGUCUAGAUGCUGUUGAGAAAUUAAUCAGGGACCAACUGACCAGGGUAAGCAGUUAUCAGGAAGAUUCAUCCACUCAAUAUCUUUUCCUUGCCUGGUCAUAUCUGAUCCAGUGUUAUUGCUUCAACGUUUAUUUUAAACUUGGUCAAAAGUUAAUGGAACAAAGCGGAAGCACUGAGCUCAUUUGAUUUGGGACAAGAGUAGAGUUUAAGUGUAAUUCUCUGCAGGGUGGGGGGACUUCUAUUCCCUGUGUCAAGCAUGAUAUAAUUUAAUAAUUUAGUCUAAAGUUCUUAAAAACUUGGGAGUAAGUUCUAAAGGUGUUUUCUAUUUUGCAGGGAUAGGAAUAUGGAACGCCUGUGGAGAGUUCAGAGUGUGCCGAGCACAGUGCUUUACGUUAUAUCCUGGUGUCACCACUGCGAGGUGCGUUUUCUCAAGAUCACACAGCUAGUGAGAAAUAGGCUCAAGAUUCAAAGUGUGGUCCCCAGCGAGUGCUCCGUGUUUCUUCUCUACCCUGGGGACACGAUGGUUGGAAGCAGGACAAGGCCACGCGCAGCGUCAGAUGGCAGAUCUGACGUGUGCAGAUCUGAAGGGUGCAGAUGGCAGAUAGUGGGCAGAUAGAGCCACCGGCCACGUUAGCCUCUAAUCUGUUGGAUGAAGUUAGGUGACUCACAUAAACUCCUCAAGGUUUCACCUCCGGUAAAGCAGAAGGGACUCCUGUUUUUUUCCUACUGCCUUUGUGAGGGCAUGCUGGAUAAUGGCUGUGAAUGUUCUUUGACAGCCAUCCAUGAAGCCCUAUAGAAACGGAGAGACUUACUCCUUUGCAUUGUAAUUGUUAUGACGAUAUGGCAAGAUUCUCAUACUUAAAACAGGAGACGUGCAAGAGCUGCUCUGAGACCAGGAUAGCCGCCACUGUGGCUGGGACCGCGAUGCUGGUGAUGAGACCCUGCAUAUUUAAAAUGAUGCUGAGAAAAGAGGAGG